rnacentral:rRNA from 1 species
UUUAAGGUCUAAUCUGCCCUAUGAGGAAUUAAAUGGCCGCGGUAUUUUGACCGUGCAAAGGUAGCAUAAUAAUUAGUUUUUUAAUUGAAAGCUGGAAUGAAUGAUUGGACGAGAAAAUAGCUGUCUCAAAUUAAUUUUAUUAGAAUUUUAUUUUUAAGUAAAAAAGCUUAAAUUUUUUUAAAAGACGAGAAGACCCUAUAGAGUUUUAUAAUUACUUAUGUAUACAUAUUUUUUAGAAUUUUAAGUUUGGUAUAUUUGUACUUAUUUUGUUGGGGUGAUAGAAAAAUUAAAAUAACUUUUUUUAUAUUUAAACAUUAAUGUAUGAUUUAAUGAUCCAUUUUUUAUGAUUAUAAGAUUAAAUUACCUUAGGGAUAACAGCGUAAUUUUUUUUUAGAGUUCUUAUCGAAAAAAUAGAUUGCGACCUCGAUGUUGGAUUAAAAUAAACAUUUGGUGUAGGGGCUAAAUAGUUAGGUCUGUUCGACCUUUAAAAUUUUACAUGAUCUGAGUUUAAACCGGCGUGAGCCAGGUUGGUUUCUAUCUUUAAAUUAAUAGGAUAUUUUAGUACGAAAGGACCAAAUAUUCAAUAAAUUAUUUAAAUUUUGAUUAUUAUUA